ensembl:lncRNA
CAACUGGAAACCGUACAACAAAUGUUAGCAUUCUUAGGAAAGGCAGGUUUUAGCCGACCAUGGGUCUGUGACUUUGUGCUAAUAGUUCAACCUCUCCGUGAUUUAAUCAAAAGCGCAGACCAAACACAACCAAAUGCUUCUCUUACCUGGACCCCUGGGGCGUUAGCUGCAUUUGAAUCACUCAAAGCCACAUUGAUGUCAGCACCUGCAUUGGCAAACUCUGAUUAUGGUAAACCCUUUCACUUGUAUAUUUCAGAAAAACAGGGCUUUGCAUCUGCUGUAUUGACACAACAGCAACCAGUCCGCCUUUGCCUCUCAGCCUCAUAGAAUGGGGACUGCUGAAACUCUGUCCAUCAUCUGCGUAUUCGUUCCCUCCACCUGAUACAGAGAGAGCACUUUAGCAGGACAGUAAAUGUAUUUACAUGCCACUCCAGGGAAACCAGUGUGGAUAUGUGGACUAUUGGGUCUUUGUUUUAGUCACUGGUGGGAGAACCUGCACAGAUGACCAGAAGGAUGGUCCACUAAUGAUUUCUUCUUGUCCCUCUCUUCAAUCAACCUCUUCCUCUCUGUCCCCCUCUGCUUAAAGGCCUCCAGCUCCCACUGAAAGAAGGAAGUGUCUGCAAAGUCUAUGAAUGGCAUCCUGGGGUUAGUCAGGCCCUCUGCAGCGUAUGCAUUAUAGACUUUCCUUUCUUUGGAAAUGGGCAGAAACAGAAGUCAAUUUUUGAGACAGAACUAUAUAAAAUCGGAUGAAUGAAAUGGGAUUUACAUAUAGAAAAGCCAAAUGAAAACUAGCACUAACACUUAAAUUGAACUUUUGUCUGGUGCCGUUCUAAUGAAACAUAUGAAGAUGACUGCCUGAAGAAAACAAUGAAAUUCCCCUACUCAUUAACGAUAUGGGGUUGCAUGUCAGGAGUAGGACCAGGGGAGACCUCAACAGUCAAUGCACAGGUGUACAUUGAAAUUUUGGACACUUUUCUCAUUCCAUUGCAAAUAGGUUUGGUGAUUCUUCAGGAUUUGUUUGUUUGUUUGUGUUUUAAUGCCAUGCCAGCUUCUAUGUCUA